rnacentral:rRNA from 1 species
AACGAACGCUGGCGGCAGGCCUAACACAUGCAAGUCGAGCGAGUCCUUCGGGGCUAGCGGCGGACGGGUGAGUAACGCGUGGGAACGUGCCCUUCUCUACGGAAUAGUCUCGGGAAACUGGGUUUAAUACCGUAUACGCCCUUCGGGGGAAAGAUUUAUCGGAGAAGGAUCGGCCCGCGUUGGAUUAGGUAGUUGGUGGGGUAAUGGCCUACCAAGCCGACGAUCCAUAGCUGGUUUGAGAGGAUGAUCAGCCACACUGGGACUGAGACACGGCCCAGACUCCUACGGGAGGCAGCAGUGGGGAGUCUUAGACAAUGGGGGAAACCCUGAUCUAGCCAUGCCGCGUGAGUGACGAAGGCCUUAGGGUCGUAAAGCUCUUUCGCUGGGGAAGAUAAUGACGGUACCCAGUAAAGAAACCCCGGCUAACUCCGUGCCAGCCGCCGCAGUAACAC